ensembl:lncRNA
CCUGGAAAUCCCUUUAAAAUGACAACUCUUCUCUGGAGAGCGGAUUACAAUGCAGUUUCCUGACACUGUUGUGCCUGGGCCUUCCACUCACCCCUCCCCCAGCAGAGUCAAGUGAGUUAGCAGGGCUGGAGUGGGGCAACUAUCACAGAACCACAAGCCCAGAGUCAGAGGGGUUGCUGAAAGGGUUCUGAUAGCCAGAAAACACAUCAGGAGAAGUCAGACCCUCCGGACAACAGAAGCAAACCUCAAGGCAGUGGUCAGGUCACCAGCUGAGCCUUCCAUCCCAGCCAGCUCACUUGGAAGCGGCUGCAGGGGGAUUGGCAGAGAACCUGGUGGGAUUUGCCUCAGUUGCCUGAAUGCCGGUUGCUGGGCAGAAAGAAACAGAGUGCAGAUUGCCCUCUGCUGCGCCUGCUUACCUUGGCAUGUGUCUUGCACCAGAAGGCUGCCGUUUAUACUGGCUGUCUGUCCUGGACCUGGUUAUUUCUCCGGUGGGAGAGCUGCCCUCCUUUGUGACUUUAUAGAUAUGAAGCAGAAAUCCCAGGUCUGGUAUUCAUAUCAAUCUUUCUGAGGAACGGAUUGGCCGUCUUUUAUCCUGCCCUUCCACCCCUGCACAGGGACUCUAAGAAGGCCACAAUUACUGCACCUCCCUCCAUUUGGCUGUCAGCCUUCCCACCUGGAAGCAGACGACACUUCCUGUCCUGACCAGGCUGGCCUCCAGUGUGCUUUGAGCAACAGAAUGAUGUUGAAAGUGCAACUUACAAGAGAUGACGUUCCGGUACUCCUGGGGCCACACAUGGAGUGCACUGCCACUUUUUCUCUCACAGGAAAGAAAUCCAACCACACAGAGAUCGCCAAGCUACGCCAAAGCCCAAAUUAUCCACACAGAAGCUCCAUGAAGAAGACAGUGAGGCCCAGAGAAUUGGCUAAAGGCACGAAAUAUUCAAGUAAAGAAGGUUUUUGUUUUGCUUUGUUUUGUUUUGAGUGUUCAAACCCCAAAUUACGCUCUAUAACCAGAACCACCCAGCUGCACUCAGCUCAGACUGUAGAAUUAUGGGAAAUGAUAAAAUGGAGGUAAGCCACUUGGUUUUGAGGGUGGCUAAUUCUGUAGCAAUGGCUGAAUGCCUCUGCUGCUGCCCUCUGCUUUAUGCCCUACAUUGCAGACAGCGUGUGGCCCCUGGCUCGUUGGUGCUGCCUCCGCUCCACUCAUCUCCAGUUAUAAUCUCCUUUCUGCCUUUCUUUUUCUGUAGCACAACUUCAUCUCCACUUCUGUCUCAUCUCUUUUUGCUCCCAUAGCUUCCCAUGGCACUCUCAAUGACGUUGUGAACGUUCCUUCAUGCAGCUGUCUCCCAAACUCCAAACCAGGAUGUGCUCUCCCAAGUAGAUACCACAUCUUACUCCACAUCAGGUCUCACUUCACACGGAAGUAUGAGCGAACCCCUUAACUUCCAGCCCAGCUUCUCUGAAUCAGUUAGGCAUUGUGUUCAGUCAUCUACCAGAAUCCCAGCCUCACUGGAUUAAUCAGACACUGGCUUGUUUCUGGUUUCCUGCCCCGUUAGCUUUCAAGUGUGUCUUUCUUCUUUGUGGUUAGCUCAAGACUACAGCAUGGCUUCUUUGUCGCUAGCCUCACACCCACAUCCCAGACCGGAAGAAACAACAAGUGUCAGCAUCCCUUCAUCUCACCAACCAGAGCUAUGCCACAAGGACACCCACAGCUAAGGACAGCAAACACCUUGGAGAAUCUCAACUUUGACCCGGAAGUACUCACUACCUGGAACUGUCUGCCUGAGGGUACCAGGGAGAAAACAUGGGUUGUGACUAGUGUUCUCCUCAUUCUCCACCUAUAAAAAGGGGUUAGAACUUACCUUGAUGACUUGUUGAAUUUCAGAGAGACUAUGGGCAAACAUCAUAGUACCCAAGGCAUAACGGCACUCAGGAAAAGCCGUUAUAUCUUGAAUUUCCAGAAGUGGCCGUUAGCAGGGAGUUUUCCUGAAGGUGCUAAAAAUGUAUAAUAGAGACAUGGUUUGGACUCUUCAGUUCUUUUACAUUGAAUUCACUUCUUGGUUAAUAAAUCUUUUCUUGAUAGUCUAUUCAACCACUAAUAAAUCCAGCUGGAUUGUCAUUAUGACUCUUCACUUACAUGUGACACAUGAAAAAACAAGGCUUGGAAAGACACAAAGGGUGAGUUGGCAGGGUGCUACAGCCCUGUGGCUACAGAGCUGCAUAUUUCUUCUCUGAUUCAUGGAAAAAUACGUAGCACAUAGAAGUCAGCUACAGAUUUAAAAGAUCUCCUACCAGGGAGUUGAAGAAUCAAGUCUCAAGGUCUUAGCUGCUGAGGGCUAAAAAGCUCACUUAGAAGGUGACUAGUGGAAAGACUAAGGGGACCUGCUUUGUAUCUGCAGCUGCUCUCACCACAGCUUCUUUUUAAAGCAAAUGAAGAAAGACUUUUGUAAGAUUUGUUUUUCUUGCUAGGGACAAGCACAAAAUAUUGGGUCAAAUUACUAAAAUGGUCAAGAGAAAAGUUUCACUUCCAACUAGAUCCAACAUUGAAGGCUAUCUCUAUCCCUAGACAUCUCUCUCUGUGGACGAGUCCCCCCAAGCUUGAGAAUGACAGCAGAAAGAAAGAGGCCCUAUUUAAGGAAAAAAAACCAAAACAAUAGUUUAAGAAAAAAAAAAAAAAAAAGCAAAAAGCCUCCCAAAUUAGUUCAAUCUGAAACACAAGCCCACCCCAGAAUCAAUUGGUAUUGUGCUAAGGAAGUAGUUUCUUAUUGGCCAGACUGGGUCAUGCCUACCUCAGAGCCCAGAUGAAACCAAUCUCAUUUAAGCCACUUAGGCUGAGAGUAGGUGAGAGCUGGCCCACUGAAGGACAGUCGAGAUGCUCCCGUCAGCAGGAGAGCCAGCCAGGACUAGUCCUAUAAAAGUUCCAGGGCAUGGUUAGUUAUAGAUGCAGCUGGUAUUACAAAAUACCACAAUAAUAUCAGGGGCGGGAAACCAUUCGCUAGGCAAGCAGACGGACCUGCGUUCCGAUCCCUAGCACCCGGGUAAAAGCUCUUCUCUUUAGUGUCACCCCAGCACUGAAGGUGCGGAGACAGGCAGCUGUCUAGCCAAAUGGGUGUGCUCCAGCUUCAGUGAGAGACCCUGUUUCCAAAUAUGGUGGAGCAUGUGUUAAUCCCAAAGACAGGAGGAGAAAGACCACUGAUCCAAAUCAUCAUGGCCAAAUUAAUUAAGAUGGCUUUGAAGCCCGAAAUGGAGGCAGGCUGGUUCUUCAAGUGACUGAGGUUCUCCAAGUGAUUGGCCGCUCAUCUCCAC